CCCUGGUUGGCUCAGUUGGUAGAGCGCUCCACUUGUAAUGGAGAGGUCCCGGGUUCGAUACCCGGACCAGGUG
rnacentral:tRNA from 1 species